CCGAAGCGAAAGCGAGUCUUAAUAGGGCGAAAUAGUAUGAUGGAGUAGACCCGAAACCAAGUGAUCUACCCAUGGCCAGGUUGAAGUUUAGGUAACACUGAAUGGAGGACCGAACCAGGACACGUUGAAAAGUGUUUGGAUGAGCUGUGGGUAGCGGAGAAAUUCCAAUCGAACUUGGAAAUAGCUGGUUCUCUCCGAAAUAGCUUUAGGGCUAGCCUCGUUGUGAGUUUACUGGAGGUAGAGCACUGUUUGGACUAGGGGCCCAUCCCGGGUUACCGAAUUCAGACAAACUCCGAAUGCCAGAUAAAUAUCAACGGGAGUCAGACUGCGGGUGAUAAGGUUCGUAGUCGAAAGGGAAACAGCCCAGACCGCCAGCUAAGGUCCCAAAUUGUAUGUUAAGUGGAAAAGGAUGUGAUGAUGCACAGACAACCAGGAUGUUGGCUUAGAAGCAGCCACCAUUUAAAGAGUGCGUAAUAGCUCACUGGUCGAGUGACAUCGCGCCGAAAAUGUACCGGGGCUAAACAUACAACCGAAGCUGCGGAUAUAACUAAUGUUAUAUGGUAGGAGAGCGUUCUAACAUCGUAGAAGCCGAGCUGUAAGGCGAGGUGGAGAGGUUAGAAGUGAGAAUGCCGGUGUGAGUAGCGAAAGAUAGGUGAGAAUCCUAUCCACCGAAAGACUAAGGUUUCCAGAGGAAGGCUCGUCCGCUCUGGGUAAGUCGGGACCUAAGGUGAAGCCGAAUGGUGAAGCCGAUGGACAACAGGUAGAAAUUCCUGUACCACCAAAUAUCAUUUGAGAGAAGUGGGGACAGAGGAGGCUAAUUGAUCGUCCUGAUGGAAU
rnacentral:rRNA from 1 species